AUCGAACGCUGGCGGCAGGCUUAACACAUGCAAGUCGAGCGGAGAUGAGGUGCUUGCACCUUAUCUUAGCGGCGGACGGGUGAGUAAUGCUUAGGAAUCUGCCUAUUAGUGGGGGACAACAUUCCGAAAGGAAUGCUAAUACCGCAUACGCCCUACGGGGGAAAGCAGGGGAUCUUCGGACCUUGCGCUAAUAGAUGAGCCUAAGUCGGAUUAGCUAGUUGGUGGGGUAAAGGCCUACCAAGGCGACGAUCUGUAGCGGGUCUGAGAGGAUGAGCCGCCACACUGGGACUGAGACACGGCCCAGACUCCUACGGGAGGCAGCAGUGGGGAAUAUUGGACAAUGGGCGGAAGCCUGAUCCAGCCAUGCCGCGUGUGUGAAGAAGGCCUUUUGGUUGUAAAGCACUUUAAGCGAGGAGGAGGCUACCUGGAUUAAUACUCUAGGAUAGUGGACGUUACUCGCAGAAUAAGCACCGGCUAACUCUGUGCCAGCAGCCGCGGUAAUAC
rnacentral:rRNA from 1 species